rnacentral:lncRNA from 1 species
UGUGGAUUCAUUCUGGAGACUAGCAAAAGCAAGAAGAGACAUAUUCCAUAAUUGUAGCCAAAAUAAGUAUGGAGAGAAACUAGCCAGUAGCUUGUUCCUUUUUUUUUUUUAUAUAUCCAAAGCAGCAAAACUUCUGACAAAACUCCUUGUACCAAGAAGCUUCCAUUAAACUGCAGGCAGAGGAGGAGAAGAAGAAAGACAGCUAAACCACCACCCGCACACUUAAUAUCCGUUUGCUA